UAGUUUAGCCCCAGUGACCAAAGUCCUCUGUUCAUCUACAGAAAAGUUACAGCACAGGCAGCACUAAUGUUAGACUCACAGAGAUCCUGCCCCCCUGCCUCAUCCUUGACCUGAAUGGACUAACUCUAAGGGAUGUCAGCUUCUGUGGCCUUUUGACUCACAUCAGAUAGU
rnacentral:sRNA from 1 species